rnacentral:rRNA from 1 species
ACACGUGGUAUCCUGUCUGAAUAUGGGGGGACCAUCCUCCAAGGCUAAAUACUCCUGACUGACCGAUAGUGAACCAGUACCGUGAGGGAAAGGCGAAAAGAACCCCGGCGAGGGGAGUGAAAAAGAACCUGAAACCGUGUACGUACAAGCAGUGGGAGCACGCUUAGGCGUGUGACUGCGUACCUUUUGUAUAAUGGGUCAGCGACUUAUAUUCUGUAGCAAGGUUAACCGAAUAGGGGAGCCGAAGGGAAACCGAGUCUUAACUGGGCGUUAAGUUGCAGGGUAUAGACCCGAAACCCGGUGAUCUAGCCAUGGGCAGGUUGAAGGUUGGGUAACACUAACUGGAGGACCGAACCGACUAAUGUUGAAAAAUUAGCGGAUGACUUGUGGCUGGGGGUGAAAGGCCAAUCAAACCGGGAGAUAGCUGGUUCUCCCCGAAAGCUAUUUAGGUAGCGCCUCGUGAAUUCAUCUCCGGGGGUAGAGCACUGUUUCGGCAAGGGGGUCAUCCCGACUUACCAACCCGAUGCAAACUGCGAAUACCGGAGAAUGUUAUCACGGGAGACACACGGCGGGUGCUAACGUCCGUCGUGAAGAGGGAAACAACCCAGACCGCCAGCUAAGGUCCCAAAGUCAUGGUUAAGUGGGAAACGAUGUGGGAAGGCCCAGACAGCCAGGAUGUUGGCUUAGAAGCAGCCAUCAUUUAAAGAAAGCGUAAUAGCUCACUGGUCGAGUCGGCCUGCGCGGAAGAUGUAACGGGGCUAAACCAUGCACCGAAGCUGCGGCAGCGACGCUUAUGCGUUGUUGGGUAGGGGAGCGUUCUGUAAGCCUGCGAAGGUGUGCUGUGAGGCAUGCUGGAGGUAUCAGAAGUGCGAAUGCUGACAUAAGUAACGAUAAAGCGGGUGAAAAGCCCGCUCGCCGGAAGACCAAGGGUUCCUGUCCAACGUUAAUCGGGGCAGGGUGAGUCGACCCCUAAGGCGAGGCCGAAAGGCGUAGUCGAUGGGAAACAGGUUAAUAUUCCUGUACUUGGUGUUACUGCGAAGGGGGGACGGAGAAGGCUAUGUUGGCCGGGCGACGGUUGUCCCGGUUUAAGCGUGUAGGCUGGUUUUCCAGGCAAAUCCGGAAAAUCAAGGCUGAGGCGUGAUGACGAGGCACUACGGUGCUGAAGCAACAAAUGCCCUGCUUCCAGGAAAAGCCUCUAAGCAUCAGGUAACAUCAAAUCGUACCCCAAACCGACACAGGUGGUCAGGUAGAGAAUACCAAGGCGCUUGAGAGAACUCGGGUGAAGGAACUAGGCAAAAUGGUGCCGUAACUUCGGGAGAAGGCACGCUGAUAUGUAGGUGAAGUCCCUUGCGGAUGGAGCUGAAAUCAGUCGAAGAUACCAGCUGGCUGCAACUGUUUAUUAAAAACACAGCACUGUGCAAACACGAAAGUGGACGUAUACGGUGUGACGCCUGCCCGGUGCCGGAAGGUUAAUUGAUGGGGUCAGCGCAAGCGAAGCUCUUGAUCGAAGCCCCGGUAAACGGCGGCCGUAACUAUAACGGUCCUAAGGUAGCGAAAUUCCUUGUCGGGUAAGUUCCGACCUGCACGAAUGGCGUAAUGAUGGCCAGGCUGUCUCCACCCGAGACUCAGUGAAAUUGAACUCGCUGUGAAGAUGCAGUGUACCCGCGGCAAGACGGAAAGACCCCGUGAACCUUUACUAUAGCUUGACACUGAACAUUGAGCCUUGAUGUGUAGGAUAGGUGGGAGGCUUUGAAGUGUGGACGCCAGUCUGCAUGGAGCCGGCCUUGAAAUACCACCCUUUAAUGUUUGAUGUUCUAACGUGGACCCGUGAUCCGGGUUGCGGACAGUGUCUGGUGGGUAGUUUGACUGGGGCGGUCUCCUCCUAAAGAGUAACGGAGGAGCACGAAGGUUGGCUAAUCCUGGUCGGACAUCAGGAGGUUAGUGCAAUGGCAUAAGCCAGCUUGACUGCGAGCGUGACGGCGCGAGCAGGUGCGAAAGCAGGUCAUAGUGAUCCGGUGGUUCUGAAUGGAAGGGCCAUCGCUCAACGGAUAAAAGGUACUCCGGGGAUAACAGGCUGAUACCGCCCAAGAGUUCAUAUCGACGGCGGUGUUUGGCACCUCGAUGUCGGCUCAUCACAUCCUGGGGCUGAAGUAGGUCCCAAGGGUAUGGCUGUUCGCCAUUUAAAGUGGUACGCGAGCUGGGUUUAGAACGUCGUGAGACAGUUC